rnacentral:lncRNA from 1 species
CCUACCUCUUCCAAAGUUGACUGGCAAAAAGGACAGUGUAAAACUUCACUUAACGUAAUUCUCCUUUUCAAGUUAACGGAGCAACCAGGCCAGAGAAUAACUCUGACUUUUGACUGUGACUGUUUCUAGUAUCCCAGUGAAGUCAGCUGCUUUUAAGGAAAAAAUUCCCCAGGAGUGUCCCCAAGAAAUAUAGAGGAAAGGAAGAAAGUCUUGGAGGAAUUUAGUGCUGAUUUGGAGAUAAGACAUUUUGAUACUUGGGGAAUUUAGCUGCAUUAAGCUUUCACAAACCUGGAGGAGGGUGUGCAACUGAUCAUCUGUUUGCUGAGGUCCUACUGCUCAUCCCCUGAUACAUGGCUUUGGAGCCCUACUCAUCAUUUCUGAUCUGAAAGCAACUAAAGCAUCCGUCCUCUUCUCUGAUGGCCACUCUCAAAAUGGUUAUGACUGGUACAUCUUCUUUACCCUUUAUCGCUGCCUGUUGCCUUCAGCAUCUCAUUUUCCCUUUAGCUUCUGUUUAGACUUUCUUUCCUUUAAGGAAAUCUAUUUUUUUCCAACCAAUCUCUCUCCUCCUGUUUUUUUUCUUUUUAUUUUACCAGUGUUCCUGUUAUGAUAGCAAGACUAAAGCCCAGUUUUACAUCAGUCCAGUUCCUCUUUGGUUUCUUAGCUGAUAUGACUCCAAAGCAACAGAGCUUUUGAGGUCCAAGAACUACCAUUUUUAAUUGCAUUUUUGGGCUUUUGAAUUUUUUAUUCACCCUCAACAGGUGAUAUAUUCUUUUUCAAAUAUUCAUUCCUUAUUUAUCAAUAUAAUCUACCCAGGGUUAAAUGAAAUAUUGGUUUCUGAAGUGCAAAGCCAGAAAAAAAACCUAUGCAAUGAACAAACUCAGAGUUAAUAUGAGACUACUUGGUGUCCAGUAACACUUAAGAGCCUGUAUUUAAGCGAAAUGAAUCUAAGAUGCUAGCAUACCUCAGCCGGCCCAGGACAAAAUUAAAGCGUAAGUAGGAAUAAAAUUUGGGACAUUACAAUGUGUCCUACUAAGGUCUAGUACAGACAAUCAAAAUUAUUUUUUGUUGUGGUAAAGUAGGCAUAACACAAAAUUUAUAAUUUUAACCCUCUUUAAAUUGCACAUAUUAGCACAUAUUAGUGGCAUUAAGUGUAUUCACCUUGUUGUGCAUCCCUCACAACGGUCCAUCCAGAACUGUUUCCUUAUCCCAAACUGAAACUCUGUAUCCAUUAAACAGUAACUUCUCCUUCCCCCAGCCCCCCAGCCCCUAGUAACCACUAUUCUUUUUUCUGUCUCAAUGAAUUUGACUAUUUUAAGUACCUCAUAUAAGUAGAAUCAUAAUAUUUGUCCUAUUUUCUGUCUGGCUUAUUUCACAUAGCAUAUCUUUAGGUUUCAUCUGUAUUGUAUCAUGUAGCAGAAUUCUAUCCUUUAUAAGGCUGAAUAAUAUCAUAUUGUAUGUAUAUACCAUUGUUGUAUAUACAGAUGUUGUAUGUGUAGAACAUUUGGUUUAUUCAUUCAUCCAUCCAUGGACAUUUUGGUUAUUUCACAUUUUGGCUAUUGUGAAUAAUGCUUCUAUGAACAUUGGUGUAUAAAUAUCUGUUUGAGUCCCUUUGGAGGGACUCAUUCUCAGUUAAAUAUUCUUUGGACUAUAUAAAAAAAGUAAAUUGGCAGAUCAUGUGGUAAUUAUAUAUUUAUUUUUUUGAGGAACCUCCCCACCGUGCUGUUUUUCACAAUUUUACAUUCCCACCAGCCAUGUACGAGGGUUUCAAUUUCUCCGCAUUUUGCCAACUCUUGUUAUGUAAUAUGUGAAGUGGUGUCUCAUUGAGGUUUUGAUUUGCAUUUCCUAAUGAUUAGUGAUGCUGAGCAUCUUUUCAUGUGCUUAUUGGCCAUUCGUAUAUCUUGUUUGGAGAAAUGUUUAUUCAAGUGCUUUGUUUGUCUUUAAAUUAGUUUUUGUUGUUGUUUUGUUGAGUUGUAGGAUUUCUUUGCAUAUUCUGGAUAUUUAUCCUUCAUCAAAUAUAUGACUUGGAAAUAUUCUCUCCCAUUCUGUGGGUUGCCUUUCUACUCGGUUGAUCGUGUCCUUUGCACAAAUGUUUUUAACCUUGAUAAAGUGUAAUUCAUCUAUUUUUUUCUUUUGUUGUCUGUGCUUUUGGUGUGAUGUCCAGGAGAUCAUUACCAAAUCCAGUGUUAUUAAGCUUUCUCCCUAUAUUUUCUUAGCAAUAAAAAUAUGAACUAAUAUCUCGUAAAUGCUCUGUAGUAUGUGCCACUCAAGGAUCUUAGGGCUGGGUCCACUGCAGUCACAAAAAUAUACUUCAGGCCAGAGAGGAUGGAGUCAAGGAGGAGGGAGUAGAGGCCCUGUCAGGAAAGCAAGAAUUUUCCAGAAAUUUCCAGUAGGCUUUUGCUUCAAUCUGUUGGCCAGAAUGGGUAAUGUUGCUUCUCUUGACUACAAGAGAGGGUAUCUGGGAAAUAUAUAAGGGUUUUAUCAUUGUUCAUUUUUGAGCUGAGUACACCACCAUCUAGAGUCUGUAGGUGAGGGUGAAGAAGAGAAUUACGUAACAGUAGGUGGGCACAUGGUGUCUGCAACAAGUUUCAACUUUCUGUUGGUGUAUCUGAAACUUCUUCAGUAGAAUCAUUGAAAAGUUUUGUGACAUAUAAACACAUUCUUCUCUGGAGUUUAGAGUUGACAUACCCUUUAUCCUAUUUUUAUAUUUAAGUUUGUUUCUGGGGAUGGGAGGUUGAGAGUGGGGAGAAGGGAGGAGUCAGUGAGACCUGGGGCAGAAUGGGUAUAUAUGCCCAUAUCAUGUUCUUUCUGGAGUUUAUCAAAUACACUGUUGGACUACAUCUCUGAAUAAUGAAUUUGUGUUCUUUUUUCUAAGAAGAAUGUAAAUAUUCCAUUCUUUCAAGUUUUACUAUUUGACUGAGUUACUGUUGUAACUGUUGGAGCUCUGCAGACCACCAAGCAACUUGCCUUUGCUGCACUCAAUGAUUUGAUACUGUUCACUGGACUCUAGUCCUCCCUGCAUGGGUCUGCCUGCUCUAAGCAGGGUGCACAUAGUCCGGCUAAGUGUAGAAAGCCUCUUUCCUACAAUGAAACCUCAGACCUUCCUUCCUGCCUGCCUGUCUUGGAAAUCCAUUCUAUUCCUUUUUAAUCUGGUUUGGACACUUAAACACCAAAUAUAGCUGCUGAUUGGGAAAGUGUUCUUGUCUGGCCCUACUUUUUUCUACAGAACUUCGGGACUUGAAUCUCAUUUCUGAAUCACAGAGCUUGUAUUUUCUUUAAGGUAUUUUUGAUAAGAUAUUGCAGGAAUUGUGACUUCUUACAUUUUAUCUUUGUAUAUUGAGUUGCAAAGGAGAUAAGUUAAACAGAAAAAUUCAUUUCAAAAACUAAACAAUGAAUGGAAAAAAAUAAAUGUAAUAAA